rnacentral:rRNA from 1 species
AGACGUCUACAUUAGAUACCCCCGGUAGUCCCAGCCGUAAACUAUGCGCGUUAGGUGUAUCGGUGACCACGAGUCACCGAGGUGCCGAAGGGAAACCGUGAAACGUGCCGCCUGGGAAGUACGGUCGCAAGGCUGAAACUUAAAGGAAUUGGCGGGGAGCACCACAACGGGUGGAGCCUGCGGUUUAAUUGGACUCAACGCCGGGAAGCUCACCGGAUAGGACAGCAGAAUGAUUGCCGGGCUGAAGACUCUGCAUGACUAGCUG